AACGCUGGCGGCGCGCUUAACACAUGCAAGUCGAGCGAGAACCAAGCCUUCGGGCUUGGGGACAGCGGCGAACGGGUGAGUAACACGUGGGUAAUCAACCCUCGACACUGGGAUAGCCCGGGGAAACCCGGAUUAAUACCGGAUACCCCAUCUGGCCUUCGGGCCGGCUGGAAAAGGUAGCUUUGGCCUCCGGUCGAGGACGAGCCCGCGGCGGAUUAGCUUGUUGGUGGGGUAAAAGCCCACCAAGGCGACGAUCCGUAGCUGGUCUGAGAGGACGAUCAGCCACACUGGGACUGAGACACGGCCCAGACUCCUACGGGAGGCAGCAGUGGGGAAUCUUGCGCAAUGGGCGAAAGCCUGACGCAGCGACGCCGCGUGAGGGAAGAAGGCCUUCGGGUUGUAAACCUCUUUCAGAAGGGACGAAGCCACUCGGGUUAAUAGCCCAGAGGGUGACGGUACCUUCAGAAGAAGCCCCGGCUAACUACGUGCCAGCCGCCGCGGUAAGAC
rnacentral:rRNA from 1 species